GGUGAACGCUGGCGGCGCGCCUAACACAUGCAAGUCGAACGGCACCCACCUUCGGGUGGACGCGAGUGGCGAACGGCUGAGUAACACGUGGAGAACAUGCCCCCUCCCCCGGGAUAGCCGCCCGAAAGGACGGGUAAUACCGGAUACCCCGGGGUGCCGCAUGGCACCCCGGCUACAGCCCCGAAGGGAGGGGAUGGCUCCGCGGCCCAUCGGGUAGACGGCGGGGUGACGGACCACCGUGCCGACAACGGGUAGCCGGGUUGAGAGACCGACCGGCGAGAUUGGGACUGAGACACGGCCCAGACUCCUACGGGAGGCAGCAGUGGGGAAUCUUGCGCAAUGGGGGGAACCCUGACGCAGCGACGCCGCGUGCGGGACGGAGGCCUUCGGGUCGUAAACCGCUUUCAGCAGGGAAGAGUCAAGACUGUACCUGCAGAAGAAGCCCCGGCUAACUACGUGCCAGCCGCCGCGGUAAAAC
rnacentral:rRNA from 1 species